rnacentral:ncRNA from 1 species
UGGUCCUAGCCUUGGAGUCAGUUUUUACUUUAUUUAUACAUGCAAGUCUCCGCACCCCUGUGAGAACGCCCUUAAAUCCUGUCAGGAAAGAGGAGCUGGUAUCAGGCACAACAAUUAGCCCAAGACACCUAGCUAUGCCACACCCACAAGGGUAUUCAGCAGUAAUUAACAUUGAAUAUAAGCGCCAGCUUGAUUCAGUUAAAGUAAAGAGGGCCGGCAAAUCUGGUGCCAGCCGCCGCGGUUACACCAUGAGACCCAAAUUGACUCUCUUCGGCGUAAAGCGUGAUUAAAGUGACACCCCACUGUAGUCGAACUAAAAUUUAGUCGUGACAAUCUUAUAUUUAGGAAGCCCAAAAACGAAAGUUACUACAUUUAAAACAACUUGAACUCACUAUAGCUAAGACACAAACUAGGAUUAGAUACCCUACUAUGCUUAGCCGCAAACUAUCAAUUACACCUAUAACGCCAGGGAACUACGAGCAAAGCUUAAAACCCAAGGGACUUGACGGUACCCCAUAUCCCCCUAGAGGAGCCUGUCCUAUAAUCGAUAAUCCCCGUUCAACCUCACCAUCUUUAGCCUAAUCAGUCUGUAUACCUCCGUCGCCAGCUUACCACGUGAGCGAUAAGUAGUGAGUUAAAAGUCUAUAUUAUUCAACUAUACGUCAGGUCAAGGUGCAACAAAUGAGAUGGGAAGAGAUGGGCUACACUCUCUAAUUUAGAAAAUACAAAAAACUCGCUAUGAAAAAAGUUUGAAGGUGGAUUUAGCAGUAAAAAGGGAUCAGAGAGCUCUUUUUAACCCGGCACUGGGGUGUGUACACACCAGCCCGUCACCCUCUUCGCAGCCACUAAAUAGUGCUUAACAACCCACAGCAUAGUAGAAGAGGUAAGUCGUAACACGGUAAGUAUACCGGAAGGUGUGCUUGGAGA